rnacentral:misc_RNA from 1 species
GAACUGCGAUAAGUAAUGUGAAUUGCAGAAUUCAGUGAAUCAUCGAGUCUUUGAACGCACAUUGCGCCCCCUGGCAUUCCGGGGGGCAUGCCUGUCCGAGCGUCAUUGCUGCCCUUCAAGCCCGGCUUGUGUGUUGGGUCGUCGUCCCCUCCGGGGGACGGGCCCGAAAGGCAGCGGCGGCACCGCGUCCGGUCCUCGAGCGUAUGGGGCUUUGUCACCCGCUCGAUAAGGACCGGCCGGGCGCCAGCCGGCGUCAAACCCCAAUCUUUCUAAGGUUGACCUCGGAUCAGGUAGGGAUACCCGCUGAACUUAAGC